rnacentral:rRNA from 1 species
AGUGAACGCUGGCGGUAGGCCUAACACAUGCAAGUCGAACGGCAGCACAGUAAGAGCUUGCUCUUACGGGUGGCGAGUGGCGGACGGGUGAGGAAUACAUCGGAAUCUACUUUUUCGUGGGGGAUAACGUAGGGAAACUUACGCUAAUACCGCAUACGACCUACGGGUGAAAGCAGGGGAUCUUCGGACCUUGCGCGAUUGAAUGAGCCGAUGUCGGAUUAGCUAGUUGGCGGGGUAAAGGCCCACCAAGGCGACGAUCCGUAGCUGGUCUGAGAGGAUGAUCAGCAACACUGGAACUGAAACACGGUCCAGACUCCUACGGGAGGCAGCAGUGGGGAAUAUUGGAAAAUGGGCGCAAGCCUGAUCCAGCCAUACCGCGUGGGUGAAGAAGGCCUUCGGGUUGUAAAGCCCUUUUGUUGGGAAAGAAAAGCAGCAGGUUAAUACCCCGCUGUUCUGACGGUACCCAAAGAAUAAGCACCGGCUAACUUCGUG